rnacentral:rRNA from 1 species
UACGUAGGGGGCAAGCGUUGUCCGGAUUCAUUGGGCGUAAAGAGCUCGUAGGCGGCUUAGCAAGUCGGGUGUGAAAACUCCAGGCUCAACCUGGAGACGCCACCCGAUACUGCUAUGGCUAGAGUCCGGUAGGGGACCACGGAAUUCCUGGUGUAGCGGUGAAAUGCGUAGAGAUGGGGGAGAACACUCGUGGCGAAGGCGGCCAGCUAGACCAGUUCUGACACUGAGGCGCGACAGCGUGGGGAGCAAACAGG